rnacentral:lncRNA from 1 species
GGGGGGUGCUGCGGGGAAGGCGGGGGACCCGGGACUUCCAAGUGUUCUGGCCAUGGAGGCAUGAUAUCCGUAACAUCCCCCAAAGGAGCUAAAGAAGAAAUCCACAAUUUACCAUGAGCAUUUCUCGUCUAAUGAUUGCCAAGCGAUUCCUCCAGGACAUUCCUCAAGGUGAAAACCAUCCAUUUCUUGGAGAAGUGCCACGGUGGGGUUGCAAGUCCCAGGAUCAAGAUUUCGAUGUGUCUCUUUUUCCCGUAAAGUGGCUGAAAUCUGAAGCUGAAUCUGCAAGUGUCAUGGAGUCAUUGAAUCUCACAGUCUCAACUGAUAAAAGUUAUUAA